rnacentral:lncRNA from 1 species
GGUGGCUUCUCUCCCUUAGGUGGUUUGCCAACUGGGGUUGGUGGCUUGUGUUCUGGGAGUGGCUUCUCCCCCUUGGGAGGUUUUUCCAAUGGGGUUGGUUUGUGUUCAGGAGGUGGCUUCUCCACUGGAGGCUUGUGUUCAGGAGGUGGCUUCUCCACCGGAGGCUUGUGUUCAGGUGGUGGCUUCUCCACCGGAGGCUUAUGCUCUGGUGGUGGCUUCUCGAAUGGGGGAUGCUUAGGAUAAUCAGCAAGUGAGGGGGCGGUGAGAACCACCAGGCCAAGCAACACCACUAGCAAAUAUGUAGGAGACAUCUUUGGGUUUGGGCUCAGAUGGUGCAAAACUAGGAGAAUUGGCUAGCCUUUUAUAGCGGAUCGUACCCAAUAAUGAAAUGACACGUGUCAUUAUGACCCAUGUGUAAUGGGGUCGAUUUGGGUCCUACAGUGUUGAAAACUUCGACAUCCACUUUUGGCCUUUUGCUUUCUCUACAGCCGCCUUGCUUUUUCCCUCUUUCCUUUUGUUUUCCUCCUGCCCCAUUCUAUCAACUAAACACAAUUAUGUAGUUGUUUAAUUCUUAAAUGAGAUAUUAUCCGUCAAUCGUAUUAUAUUUUAUCAAGAGAGAACGGAGUGCAAUGUGGCUGUAAUUUUAUCGUUUAGUUUUAUCUCUUGGACCACUGCAUUUUUGUUAAGAGGUGCAAUAAUACACGUCUUUAUCUGCCAUUCAAUAUUUACAGUAAAGAGAGGGCACAAAACUCUUCACUUCGCACCAUAAUUAUUUUGUUUUCUGGACACCCCGGGGCCCUUUGGUUGGUUUGGGGGUCAGAAAGUGAACAUCAUAGGGGGUUUUUCCCUUAUGUGCAUUUGUAUCUGAUGGCUUUAACUCGCCUUGUUACUACAAAGAAACUGUCACAGAUAGGAACUUAUUCCAGGCUGAGUAUCUCCUCAUAGACCCUAUAAAAGAAGACAAGUCAUAAUGAACAUCUAACCUUUGUUCAAUUUGAUUCAAUGCCCCCAUUGUGUCCAUCUCACAAAUCUGAAUUAUUAUAUCCAUUGAAUACAUAAAUUAAUGAAGAAAAUAUGAAACCCAAGAUACAUCUCUGCACAACCUCAACCCUGGUUGCUAUGUUUCCCUUCUAUUCACAUGAUUUGAUGCUAAUUGCCAAACUUGCAACAAGCCCUGAGUUUGACACCUAGUAUCGAUGGGCGAAUUUAAAGUCUCCUCCAAACAUAUAUUCCACAGCUUGAAGCUCACAGAAGAUGUUACAGGCAGGGAAAAACCUUCAGAGUUCGCUACCAAAGAUAAUUAUUAAGGAGAUAUCACAAAGAGAAUUCCAAGGGGUCUGAAUCAAAGACAAAUUGGUCGUUCGUGGGGGUUCUUACUUUCUUUUGGGUAUAACUCACUGAGGGCACUGUCUUUGUUAUUUGCAUUUCACAUUUAGAGUUCUGUUCUGGAAACAUAUAAAAGGAGCAUCAUUUUGUUCUUGGGUAACCCAUAGUCGUGAGUGGGUCCAUUUGCAUGCUACUUAGUUGAAAAGUUGGACCAUUUGCUCCGACGCCUACCUCCCGGAUUCCAUGCUCGGAUAAAACAAGAAUAAAAAAAAUAUUUAUAAUUUACAAAUGGGGGAAAGAAAAAAAUGUCAACAACAAACCAGGAAAAAAGAGUAGUAAAAUUCAUGUCACAUGCUAGUGAGAGAAGGGGUUGUUACACUCACUCGAAGUUCUUUCCAAAAUAUCGCAUGGUAUUUUAUUUUAUGUGUCAGCGCAGUUGUGAAUGGAACGUGCAAAAGUCCAAAUUGGCGUUUUUCCUUUUCCCGUGUAGGAUGGCGACCUUUAAUAAAUAUUUAAAACAAAAAACGAAAAAAAGGAGGGAAAAGGGAUCAGAAAAGAUAAAACAAUGUGUACAAGAGCUCAAUUAGUUUGCAAAUUACUGUUUGGAUUUUGAUAGUAUUUUAUUUGUCCAUCUAUAUUUGAUGGAAAAGAGAAUUUAAGAUAUUUCUGAAACAAAAGCAUUAGUGUAAAACUAAAUUAAGGUAUAAUUAAGUUAGUUCAAUGCAUUAAUUUAAGAAACUUGAUCUAUCCAAAGUACAAAAUUAGAUGAAAUCCAUUUCAAUGGUUAAAAUGAUCAAAAUCAAACUUUUUCUAAGUAUUUUUUAAAAGCAUCAAUAUUAAAAGACAAUUUUAUAUUUAGUCGGAGUUUGGACAAAACCAAAAAGCACACAAAAUCCAAGCGACCAUCUCUAGCUUGGAUAGUCACUUGAUCCCACCUAGAGAUGUGCAUGAGUAAAAGGAUUUGAAAAUGGAAAUUGACUAAAUAUUUAGUUGAUCAAUUAAAUUUGCAAUGUCAUAUGCAAUCCUAAUAGCUAGUCAUCUAAUCAAUUAGGUAGUCAAUCAAGUGUUUGUAAUGACUAUUUUGUACAAAAAACCACAUGUAUAGUUAAAUAUAAUGCAUUUCAUUUAUAAAUCUUCUAAUUCUUGAAUAACGAUCCUAUCAUCCUUUGAAAAUUUUUAUUACACCUUUUUUACUUUUGUUCUAAAACUUACAUAUCACCCUUAAUUGUACCAUGAGAACCUAGCUAUUUUUUUUUUUUUUGUAAUUCAUCAAAGUUAGCUUUUGUAUUCAUUGUUGUAUUAUUUUUAGUAUAACUUAGAAAGCUAGUGUUUUCAAGUGAGUAAAAUUAACUUGUAAAUAUUGUAAAGAUUCAUUGAUAUGUAUCUUAAACUAAGUGUACAAAUUAAAACAUUUGCUAGUAGAUUUUCUCAAAAUUUAGAAUAGAGCUUGAGGCUAUUGAAAUAGGUGGGGUUACACCAAACCACAUCACAUCGUUGUUUGCACCUUUUUUCACUCUCUUUUACUUAGUUUCUCUAUAUUUGUUGUCUAGUAAUAUCCUAUAGGCUUGAUGGGUUAGGGAGCAUCCCUUUGUGAAAAAAUUUCAUUCAAUUCUUAGUUGUAUUACGCAUAUAUAAAAUGCCUCAUUGUUUUAAUGGUAUUCAGUCGUGGCAUCACAGAUAUGGGCAUCUAAAUUUUAAAAGUUUGAAACUUUUGUAAAGCAUGUUGAUAAAAUCCAUGAGAGUUGUGUACUUGGGAAGCAACAUCGAGGUGACUUUAUUUUUUUUUCCUUUUAUAAUGCCACACCUAAGUCCGGUUUCUAAAUGCUAAAGUGAAAGGGUAGGUAUGGACCAUUGAAAUGUGAUCACAACUUUUGGCCUUUUCCUUUCUCUGCAGCCAUGUUGUCUCUUUUUUCUUUUGCAUGAUUUUCUUACCAAAACAGAAUCAUAGACUUGUUUAGUCUCUAAGCUACUAUAUUAUAUCUCGGUGGACUUUUAAGAGUGCAACCGACAUAGAGCACAUGCAAGUGGGCAUAUGGGACAUGAAAUUUCUUCUUACAAAGAUUGCAUGAUUUUUAUAUUAGAGUUGUUCACGUGCAAUGUAUUUAGCUUGUUUUGCAGUUAAAUUAAUUGGAUAAGUAAACAUUGGCAUUUCUAAAUCGACUGUGAAGUGCUUCAUGUACGUGUAAAGUAUUAGAAAUUUCUUUCUUGGCAACUUGUUUUUUCCUUGCCAUCUACUGGUAGGUUUGACUAAAAUUAUAUUCCCUGUCAUGCUAAUUAAUUUUCAUGUGCAUGCUCAAAAGAAGAGUAUGACCUUAGUGCACCAAAAUCACUUUGAUUAAUUUGUGAUAGGUUUUUUUGCAUCAUUUAGAUAAUGUUUAGUUCUAAGAAAAAUUUAUAUAAAAAUGGUUUAUUUAUCUUACAUAUAUAUAUAUAUAUAUAUAUUUUUUUUUUUUUCAUUUUUUUUUCUUCUAUUUUAUUUAUUUAUUUUAUUUUCCUUAUGUUUUCCUCACAUUUUCCGGAACUAAACAUAGUCUUACGAAAUCAACAAUUGCCUUCAACUGAGUAGAUUCUGUUGUUUUAGCAAUGUUAGGCUGCUAACUUGUGGUGGUACGAACCAAAUGACCCAUGUUAAUCUUGGCUUGGUUUGAUUUGGCUCUAUCUCAGAGAGCUAAAGGAUCACGUCAACUCUGGUUUCUACUAUUCAGGUCCAUUCCCAGAUGAACUGGUUCAAAUUUGAGAAAAUGGUAACAGACCUUUAGUGAUGUUGGUUUGGAGCCAGUUGCCAAACCCGCCCUGAGCUUUACCACUAAUGUCAAGGGAGAAAGCCAUUUGAACAAAAACAAUAGCUUCAAGAGACUGAAUCGUGGAUGAAAUCUGAUCCACAUUUCUUCUCAUUUUGGGAAAAAAUGAGAACUUAACUACAAAGAUUCUACUGCCUCAUUCAUAGUGCUUUUCCUGAUCCAAGGUUGGUUCGUUUCCCAAAUUGUGAGGUGCACGUGCCACUCUCACGCUCAGGAGUGUAUCCACGUGGUGGACAUCAGAUGGUGGCUUAAUAUCUGGUGUCGGUGGCUUUACUUUACUAGGAGAGUAGUGUGUCUUCAUCUCAUUCACUGCCGGAGGGUGGCGUAAGCAGUGACGCUAAGGUGGGGCACAGUCAAUAUCAUUUGCAUUUGACCAUUAUAGUUUUCUCCCGGCUUGAAAGUAACCUUAUCGUGAUAAAGGAUUACUAGCACUAGUUCAGAUGACCGUCAUGUUAAUUCGGACCAUGUUUGUGUCACAUUAUCAGCAACCAUGUGUUUAUGGUUCAUGCUAUCUGCAACUAAACUUGAUAUAUAACCAGGUGAACUUCAAUCAAAAUUCUGGAAGUACUCUUGUGAUAGAUGGUGCCUGUCUGCAGAGUCCAUCAAUUGAAAAAUGGAGUGAGUGUAUCUAUAAGAGGGAAGGCUUGGCAAAUGUUCAGUUUUCUGGGAAUUCAACAAGGAUCUAAAAUAGAUUGUUUUCUUUGCCGACUUCAAUGGUUGAAAUUUGAGAAGAUUGUGUCCACAUAUCACAACUAUUACUGGUCCUUCUGUUGCAAUUUAUCCUGUAAGGCUCUAACAUGUCUUCCAAUUCCCACUUCCCUGUUACUCCAGGAAAGCUAUUUCUGUCAUUGUGAAGAAGAAAAGAGAAUGUACAUAUCGAUGCUUUUAAGUGACUGGAGCAUUCAUAUCAGGUGGUCUGCAGCCAUAUAUGCCACUUUGUGAAGGUUGGAACAGUCAAUCACUAGGCUAUAUAUUGGUGUGGCCCAGCCACUUCAAUCAAGGACAAGUCUUCAUACUUAAAGUCAAAUUCUGCCUUUAGUCUCAUUAUAAAUUGCUGUUUAAAUAUUAAGCAAACUUUUGUUUAAUGCGAUUAAGACAGUACUAACUCAAUACUUGUUCUAUUUUUGGAUGCAAAUGCUUGAUGGUUUCAUCAUUGGAUGGGAUAAAGGUGCAUUCAUGAUUAUGAAUACUUGUAGUUAUAUUUUCAUUCUCUUUUUUCUCAAUGAGACUUGUUGGCACAAUGUUGCUGUUCAGAAACCUACCUCUCCAUGGAAAAUAAGUUGCGAUUGAUAGUACUGGAUAUGUUCAAGAAAGCUAAAUAUAGAUAGCACAAAAUAUUAUCGAUAUAAAUAGCAUUAACAGCGUACGUAUGUCUCAAUGCUCAUCAGCUAUAAGCAUGGGACAAACACUUACUAUGAGCAACUUACGUCAAAAUUCCAGAAUAGGACAUAGAAGUGACAGAUCUAUAUAUAUAGAACACUGCAUAUGAGUCACAAGAAAGGAAAUUACGGGUGCAUAGCAGCUCUUAUUUUACAUACUACUACUCAUACUGAUCAAAGUCACUCAGUUGGGAUGGGUGGGAGUAGGAGGUUUGUGGGGUGGCUUGUGCGGAGGAGUUGGCAGCUUCUUUCCAGGACCUGGUUGCUUCUCUGCUGGAGUUGAAGGAGGCUUAAUCUUCCGAGGUGGCUUGUAUGAGUCUUCAGCAUUCUCAGCUGGAGGGUGACCAGGGUUGUGACCAUAAUGUGGUGGCUUCUCUCCCUUAGGUGGUUUGCCAACUGGGGUUGGUGGCUUGUAUGAGUCUUCAGCAUUCUCAGCAGGAGGGUGACCAGGGUUGUGACCAUAAUGUGGUGGCUUCUCUCCCUUAGGUGGUUUGCCAACUGGGGUUGGUGGCUUGUGUUCUGGGAGUGGCUUCUCCCCCUUGGGAGGUUUUUCCAAUGGGGUUGGUUUGUGUUCAGGAGGUGGCUUCUCCACUGGAGGCUUGUGUUCAGGAGGUGGCUUCUCCACCGGUGGCUUGUGUUCAGGAGGUGGCUUCUCCACCGGAGGCUUAUGCUCUGGUGGUGGCUUCUCCACCGGAGGCUUAUGCUCUGGUGGUGGCUUCUUGAAUGGGGGAUGCUGAGGGUAAUCAGCAAGUGAGGGGGCGGUGAGAACCACCAGGCCAAGCAACACCACUAGCAAAUAUGUAGGAGACAUCUUUGGGUUUGGGCUCAGAUGGUGCAAAACUAGGAGAAUUGGCUAGCCUUUUAUAGCGGAUCGUACUCAAUAAUGAAAUGACACGUGUCAUUAUGACCCAUGUGUAAUGGGGUCGAUUUGGGUCCUACAGUGUUGAAAACUUCGACAUCCAGUUUUGGCCUUUUGCUUUCUCUACAGCCGCCUUGCUUUUUCCCUCUUUCCUUUUGUUUUCCUCCUGCCCCAUUCUAUCAACUAAACACAAUUAUGUAGUUGUUUAAUUCUUAAAUGAGAUAUUAUCGGUCAAUCGUAUUAUAUUUUAUCAAGAGAGAACGGAGUGCAAUGCAGCUGUAAUUUUAUCGUUUACUUUUAUCUCUUGGACCACUGCAUUUUUGUUAAGAGGUGCAAUAAUACACGUCUUUAUCUGCCAUUCAAUGUUUACAGUAAAGAGAGGGCACAAAACUCUUCACUGCUCUGCAUGUGUCCCAAAAAUGCGAUUGGACAAAUUAUGAUUUGCAUGCUAAAAAGAGGCAAAUGAGGUUAAUUCGCACCAUAAUUAUUUGGUUUUCUGGACACCAUAAAAAGAUGUUAUACAGGCAGGGAAAAACCUUCAGAGUUAGCUACCAAAGAUAAUUAUCAAGCAGAUAUCACCAAGAGAAUUCCAUAGAGUCUGAAUCAAAGACAGAUUGCUCGCUCGUGGGGGUUCUUACUUUCUUUUGGGUAUAACUCACUGAGGUCACUGUCUUUUUUAUUUGCAUUUCACAGUUAGAGUUCUGCUCUGGAAGGUUUGUUCUGGAAACAUAUAAAAGGAGCAUCAUUUUGUUCUUGGGUAACCCAUAGUCGUGAGUGGGUCCAUUUGCAUGCUACUUAGUUGAAAAGUUGGACAAUUUGCUCCGACGCCUACCUCCUGGAUUCCAUGCUCGGUAAAACAAGAAUAAAAAAAAAUAUAUAAUUUACAAAUGGGGGAAAGAAAAAAUGUCGGAAAAAAUAGUAAAAUUCAUGUCACAUGCUAGUGAGAGAAGGGGUUGUUACACUCACUCGAAGUUCUUUUCAAAAUAUCGAAUGGUAUUUUACUUUAUGUGUCAGCGCAGUUGUGAAUGGAACGUGCAAAAGUCCAAAUUGGCGUUUUUAUUUUUCCCAUGUAGGAUGGUGACCUUUAAUAAAUAUUUAAAACAAAAGACGAAAAAAAAAAGGAGGGAAAAGGGAUCACAAAAGAUAAAAUAAUGUUUACAAAAGCUCAAUUAGUUUGCAAAUUACUGUUUGGAUUUUGAUAGUAUUUUAUUUGUCGUUCUAUAUUUGAUGUAAAAGAGAAUUUAAGAUAUUUCCGAAGCAAAAGCAUUAGUUUGCUCUGUGAUGUCCCACAUCGAAUAGGGGAGAAAGUUUCUGGCGCUAUAUAUGUAGAGGCUCCUCUUAACCAAGUAGAUGCGUUUUAAAACCAUGAGGGCCCCCUUAGGUCCAAAGCGGACAAUAUCUACAUGAUUGGGUGUAAGUCAUUACAAAUGGUAUCAGAGCCGAUCCCCGACCCCGGUGUGGGGGUUUGUUUGGCCCUGUAAGGGGUGUUUGUCUGUUUGACCCCACAAUCCCAUGGGACACAACGAGGACGUUGUGUCUGCAUGGGGGGGCGUUUGUGAUGUCCCACAUCGGAUAGGGGAGAAAGUUCCUAGUGCUAUAUAUGUAGAUGUUUCUCUUAACCAAGUAGAUGCAUUUUAAAAUUGUGAGGGCCUCUUUGGGCCCAAAGCGGACAAUAUCUACAUGGUUGAGUGUAAGUCAUUACAUGCUCCAUGUCAAUUUCAGCAUUUCUCAUAUGUUUCACACAUACACAGAAGAGCAUCGUUUUUUAAAGCAUGCAUUUAUGUUGGAUUAAUUUGGAUUUUGUGGGAACUGGGGCAAGGAUCACAUGGAAGAGAGGUUGACUUUUUUCAGUACUUCAAUGGUUGAAAUAUGUGAAGGCUUGAUUGAUACUAAAGCUUGAAAUUGCGACUCUGUCAUUUGUAAAAAAAUAUGACAGCUUCCAUGCUCUCGUUUGGUUGCAUUGUCCGGUCGAGAGGUGCAAAAAGCAUUCUCUCUCUUCUAAUAGUCUUUUCGUUUAAAUCAAGGGAUUUGCCUUCCCGGUCGAGGUCCAAUAGAGGGUAACGGUCACCUACUAAACAUUAAAUGCUCCAACAACUAGUGAACUGAUCGACCCCAGCUCGACUAGUUGAGGUUACUUUUUGGUUUUCUUGUCUCCCGAGGUUAGAAACCUAUAAAUAGAGAGCUUCACUUCAUUUAUGAGUAAGAGAACACCUAAAUUUAUUUGUUUACCUACUUGUUUUUGCCAUAAAAGCUCUCAUUUCUUUUCUUGGUGUAUUAAAUCUCCAUUUGCAUAUCCUUUAGUGCACCUUUGUGAUUCAUUCUAGCCUUGAGUUGUAUUUAAGCCUUUGUUGAGCUAGGUUGAGAGUUUCAUACUUGUUUAUUGAGUGUUAAAGCCUUCAAGUGAGUUAAAACUUGAAGAGAUUGUGUAAGAGCCCAUUGGAGUCGGAAUCCAAGUGUAAAGGUGAUUAAAAGCUUGGUUGAAGCUUCAAGUUAGUGGAACUCUCACUCGGUUAUGAGCUUGAGAAGAGUGGACAUAGACAAGGCAGUGUCGAACCACUAUAAAAUCUGAGUUUGAUUUCUCUAACCUUAUCUCUUUAUAUUUGCUUCUCUUGUGCUUAAAUUUUUUGUGUUUAAAAAGAAUUUUUAAAAACUCAAUUCACCCCCUUCUUGGGAGUUUUUCUCUUUUAAGAUCAGCUUUUAUUUUCUCAAUUGGUAUCAGAACUAUGCCUCUUGUUUAAGACUUAAUCGUCUAAGAGGAAAUGGCUAAUCCAUCAAGUUCAUCUCACAUUGAAAGUUUUGCAACCAAUAGACUUCUUUUUUUUUUUUUGCGGGAACUGAUUAUCCCUAUUGGAAAACUAAAAUGACUUGGUUUUUACAAUCAAUUGAUUUAGAUGUAUGAGAUGCCAUUGAAGAUGACCUAACUUUUCCUUCAAAACUAGUUGAUGGAGUCAUGGUUCCAAAACCUAAGCAAGAAUGGGAUGAGCGUGAUUGAAGAAAUUUUCAAUUAAAUGCUAAAGUCGUUUAUACUUUGCAAUGCUCUAUGGACAGAAAUGAAUAUAAUAGAAUAUGUCAAUGCAAAUCGGUUAAAGAAAUUUGGAGAUUGCUUGAAAUAACUCAUAAAGGAACAAAUCAAGUUAAAGAGUCAAAAAUCAAUUUACUUGUUCAUAGAUAUGAAUUGUUUUUUAUGAAAGAUAAUGAAACUAUUGUUAAGAUGAUCACUAGGUUCACCAACAUUGUUAAUGGUCUUAAAGCCUUGGGAAAGACCUACAAGGAAUCCGAAAACGUGAUGAAGAUCUUGAGGUCACUUCCAUCAAAGUGGCAUACCAAGGUCACCGCAAUUUAAGAAGCAAAAGACUUGAUCAAGCUACCUUUGGAGGAGUUCAUAGGGUCAUUGAUGACAUAUGAAAUCAAUUUGGCAAAGAAGUAACAAAAAGGUGAAGACAAAAAGAAGAAGAACAUAACUCUCAAAGCUACAACUAAGGAAGAAGAAGUUGAAGAAGAAAAACAAAUUGAAGAAGAUGAAGAUUUAGCCCUCAUCACAAGAAAGUUCAACAAAUUCAUGAGGGGUGAAAGGUUUAGAAGAAGAAGGUUCACUUCUAGAAGAGACUUUUCUAAAAAGGAAUCUUCAUCUAAUGGUGACAAAAAGAGAUGGGAAGAGAAAAGAGACUUGGUGUGUUUCAAGUGCAAGAAACCGGGACACAUUAAAUAUGAUUGUCCUCUCUACAAAAGUGAAGUCAAGAGGAAAAAGAAUAAGGCAAUGAUGGCCACUUAGAGUGAAAGUGAAGAUGAAUCAUCCGAAGAAGAAAAUGAGAAAGAAGUGGCAAACAUGUGUUUCAUGGCAAUAGAUGAACUUGAUGAGGUAAAAUCUAACCUUAGUGAUUAAGAUAUACAUGAUGCAUUUGAAGAAUUGUAUGAGGAUUUUUAAAAACUUAGUUUGAAAAAUAUUUCUCUUAAAAAGAAAGUUCAACAACUUGACAAAGAACUUAGAGAAGUAAAAGAAAAAUUUUCAAAUGUUAAAGUUUCUAAAACUCAUCUUGAAAAAGAAAAUGAGAUUCUAAGAAAGAAAAAUGAAUAGUUGAACUCCUCUCUUUCAAUCUUUUCUUCUAGACAAAAAUCUUUUGAAAUGAUUCUAACUAGCUAAAAAUGUGUUUUUGACAAACAAGGGUUAAGAUUUAAAUCUUCAAAAAAUCAAAAGUAUUUUAAAAACUAUUUUGUAAAGGAAUCCACAAGUGCAAGUCCUUCCACUACUUGCAACUUUUGUGGAAGAGAAUGGCACAUUAGUAGUACGCCCUUUAAGAAAUGGUUCUCAAAAGAAUUUAAAUGCAAAAACUAAAAAAGAUUUGGAUUGAGAAAUCCAAGGUCACUAACCCUCAAGGACCCAAAAAGAUAUAGGUACCUAAAUCAACUUGAGUUUUAUGUUGUAAGGUUCAAAGAAUGAUAAGUGGUUCUUAGAUAAUGGUUGCUCAAGACACAUGACCGGAGAUGAAUCCAAGUUUGCUUUUCUUAAAAAGAAAAAUGGAGGAUAUGUUACCUUUGGAGACAAUGCAAAAGAAAGGAUGAUUGGUCAAGGCAACAUUGGUAAUGGCACAUCCUCUCUCAUUGAAAGUGUUUUAUUAGUAGAUGGUUUCAAACAUAACCUUUUAAGCAUUAGUCAAUUUUGCGACAAAGGUUUUUAAGUGAUUUUUUAAGCAUCUCAUUGCAUCAUCAAGGAUAUUCAAAAUGAUAAAACCAUUUUCAUGGGCCAUAGAUGUGAUAAUGUUUAUGCUAUAAAUAUUUCAAAAUAUGAUGGCCAUGAUAGAUGUUUUUCAAGCAUGCAUGAUCAAAGUUGGUUGUGCCAUAGGAGAUUGAGACAUGCUAACAUAGACCUCAUUUCCCAACUCAACAAAGAUGAACUUGUUAGAGGCCUUCCCAAAAUAAUUUUUUAAAAAGAUAAAGUUUGUGAAGCUUGUCAAGUGGGAAAGUAAAUCAAAAACUCUUUUAAAAACAAAAACUUCAUUUCCACAUCUAGGCCACUUGAGUUGUUGCAUAUGGAUUUAUUUGGUCCCUCUAGGACACCAAGUCUUAGAGGAAAUUCUUAUGCAUAUGCUAUUGUGGACGACUUCUCUAGAUACACAUGAGUCUUGUUUUUUAGUCAAAAGAAUAAAGUUUUUUAUGAGUUUUCAAAGUUUUGCAAUAAGAUUCAAAAUGAAAAAGGUUUUUCAAUUACUUAUAUAAGAAGUGAUCAUGGGAGAGAAUUCGAAAAUAUUGAUUUUGAAGAGUAUUGCAAUGAGCAUGGAAUUGACCACAAUUUUUUGGCUCUUAGAACUCCUCAACAAAAUGGGGUAGUUGAAAGGAAAAAUAGAACUCUUCAAAAAAUGACAAGAACCAUACUAAAUGAAAACAACUUACCAAAAUAUUUUUAGGCCAAAACGGUUAACACUUCUUGUUAUGUUUUAAAUAGAGUAUUAUUGAGGCUCAUACUUAAGAAAACUCCCUAUGAGCUUUGGAAAAACAAAAAACCCAACAUUAGUUAUUCCAAAGUCUUUGGAUGCAAUAUUUUAUAAUAAACACCAAAGACAAUCUUGGAAAAUUUGAUGCAAAAUUGGAUGUUGGAAUUUUCCUUGGUUACUCAACUUCAAGUAAAGCUUUUCGAGUUUUAACAAAAGAACCAUGGUUGUAGAGGAGUCCAUCCAUGUUAUUUUUUAUGAAUCUCCAAGAAAGAGAGAGGAUUGAUGAUGAUUUAGGUUUGAAGACCUCUAUAGGAAGAUUGCAAAUCGAAGAUAGAAGACAACAAGAAGAAAAUGGAGAGAAUCCAAAGAAAGAAGGAUCACCAUUGGCACUACCCCCUCAUCAACAAGCGCAAGGUGAAUCAAGUCAAGAGCUUCCUAAAGAAUGGAAGUUUGUCAUCAAUCACCCACAAGAUCAAAUUAUAGGCAAUCCAUCUAGUGGGGUAAGAACUAGAUCCUCUCUUAGAAAUAUUUGCAAUAAUCUAGCUUUUAUCUCUCAAAUUGAGCCUAAAAAUAUAAAUGAUGUUUUAGAUGAUGAAAAUUGGAUAAUUGCAAUGCAAGAAGAGUUAAAUCCAUUUGAAAGAAGUGGAGUAUGGGAAUUAGUACCAAGACCUUCAAAUCAAAGUGUUAUUGGAACUAGAUGGAUCUUUAGAAAUAAAAUGGAUGAAAAUAGCAUAAUUGUUAGAAAUAAAGCAAGAUUGGUAGCCCAAGGUUUUAAUCAAGAAGAAAUGAUAGAUUAUGAAGAAACCUUUGCCCCCGUAGCUAGGUUGGAAGCCAUUAGGAUGCUACUUGCCUUUGCAUGUUUUAAAGACUUUGUUUUAUAUCAAAUGGAUGUGAAAAGUGCUUUUUUAAAUGGUUUUAUAAAUGAAGAAGUAUAUGUUGAACAACCACCCGGUUUUCAAAGUUUCAACUUUCCUAACCAUGUUUUUAAACUUAAAAAGACACUUUAUGGUUUGAAACAAGCACCUAGAUCAUGGUAUGAAAAAUUGAGUAAAUUUCUUUUGAAAAAAAUGUUUUAAAAUGGGAAAAAUUGACACAACUCUUUUUAUAAAAACCAAAGAAAAUGAUAUGCUCUUAGUUCAAAUAUAUAUUGAUGAUAUCAUUUUUGGUGCUACUAAUGUCUCUCUUUAUGAAGAAUUUUCUAAGUGCAUGCAUAGUGAGUUUGAAAUGAGCAUGAUAGGAGAACUCAACUUCUUCCUUGGACUUCAAAUCAAGCAACUAAAGGAAUGAACCUUCAUCAAUCAAGCAAAGUAUAUAAGAGAUCUUCUCAAAAGGUUCAACAUGGAAGAAGCCAAAACAAUGAAGACUCUAAUGAGCUCAUCCAUUAAGCUUGAUAAGGAUGAGAAAGGUAAAUCCAUUGACUCUAUUAUGUAUAGAGGCAUGAUAGGUUCUUUGCUCUAUUUGACCACUAGUAGACCUUACAUUAUGUAUAGUGUGUGUUUGUGUACUAGAUUUCAAUCUUGUCUUAAAAAAUCUCACUUAAGUGUCGUGAAAAGAAUCCUCAAAUAUUUGAAAGGGACAAUGGACAUAGGCUUAUGGUAUCCUAAGAGUGAUAACUUUGAAUUAAUUGGUUUUUUGGAUGCUGAUUUUGUCAGUUGUAGGGUUGAAAAAUAAAACACUAGUGGCACUUUUCAUUUCUUAAGACACUUACUUGUCUCAUGGCAUAAUAAGAAGCAAAAUUUGGUAGCUUUGUCAACAGCAGAAGCUAAAUACAUAGCAACUGGUUUAUGUUGUGCACAAAUCCUUUGGAUGAAAUAAACACUUAGUGAUUUUGAUUUAUCUUUUGAGCAUAUUCCUAUUAAAUGUGAUAAUAGUAGUGCCAUAAGUAUAUCAAAAAAUCUCGUGCAACACUCUAGGACUAAGCAUAUAGAGAUUAGACAUAAUUUUCUUAGAUAUCAUACACAAAAGGAUGAUAUAACACUUGAAUUUGUAAGCAUAAAAGACCAACUUGCCGAUAUCUUUACAAAACCUCUAAGAACAUUUUGUUGAUAUUAGAGGACAAUUAGGAGUGAUUUCUUUAUGAUCUAAUGUGAUGAAUUCUUGAUGAAUAUACUUUUUGAUUGCAUGAAUUUCAUGUCAUAUAUGCAUCAUAUAGAAAUAUACUUAGAUAAUGGUCAAAUUUCGACCAAAAAUCAAAAUUCCCAUGGCAUUAGGCAUAAAAAUUUUGGAAUUUCAACUGAAAAUGGUAGGAGGAGGAUCACAAAAUGAGAAAGUAUGCAAAAAUUGAAAAAUCAAAACGUUGACCAAGCGGUCAAUCGGACUAGACCGAUCGACUAGUUUGUCGAGAUUUAGGAUUUUUAAGAGACUCCAACGCUUCAAUUUUUGCACCGUUCUCCUCUAUUUCUUCACGGUUUCUCUGAUUUUGUCUUUUAGAGACUAAUUUGAGUGCGUUUUGGAUCAAUUGAAGCAUUUUGGAUUGGAUUUUAGGAAGAUUGAAAGUUAAGGUUUCGGAUUUGGGUCGCCUUCUCUUCCUCUCGCGUGUCACAAUCAGCUUUAGCAUUGUUCUCUUUCCAUUUUCACACACCUAGGGUUUCAGUUGUGAGCAUCUCUCUCUCUUUACCAACCACUACUCCCUUGCUUCUUCCAUAUGGCUCCUAGGCGAGAGUCCGCUACUUCUAGGGCACAAGGCAAGCACCCAACUGAGUCGUCUCAGUCAAAGGCACGUCGAAAAGUGAGAUUUGACAUUGCCUUGUUCAGUUCCAUGGAGGACUACCAACUAUACAAGCAACACUUUGCUUAGAGACGAGUAGUUCCCAAGAGAAAUAUUAAUUUUCCUCAACUUCAGCAUUUCGAAUUUAAGGGUCUAUUUACUAGGAUGGUUGGUUGUCUAUUGUCACAAUUUCGGAGCCGGUUUUCCUGACCUUAGUGCGAGUUUUUUACUCGAGGGCGACUUAUGGCAUGGGUGGCAUGAUCAUUUCUACUGUUGGAGGAGUUGAGAUCUGUCUGGACCCAGAGAGCAUCUGCCAUAUUUUCGAUAUUGCUCUGGUUGGACUCAAAGUAUACAAGUCCAAAAUGUGGCCCAUUGUGCCAGGAUUUGAGCUUAGAGAGGUCAUUCAGAGGAUUUGUGAACUUCCAGACGCCCAGGAGAUGGGCAAACCAUUGCCACACAGUUUGACGGUCAUCAACAGGGUGCUACACCAUAUAUUGUGCUCUAUCUUUCUACCACGAAGUGGACAUUGAGAUGAGGUCUCUUAUUAUGAGGCAUUCCUUAUUGACUCCAUUCUAACGGAGAGACGAAUUCAUCUACUAUGUCAUCAUUCACUAAGCCUCCUCACAGUGACAUACCACCUCAUCAGGCACCUCUUGCUCCUGACCAUGCUCCAUUGAUGGAUUUAUUUACUCAUAUUAGCUCUCUAGGCACUCGCAUGAAGGAGUUUGUUGUAGUUAGUGAUACAUGGUUCUACUCCAUAGAGGAUCGCAUGGAUCAGUAUCAGACUGGCUUCACGUCACAGUUUGAGUAUCUCCAAUAGAGGAUUGAGCAUAUUGAGGAUCACUUGAGCAUGAGAAGAUGAUGGCUUUUCUAUGCUCUGUGUUUCCACCUCCACCUCGUCAACCUUGAUUUCUUAGAGACCCAUUGUUUUCAUUUUGUAAUGUUGCCAAAAGGGGGAGAUAUUUAGGAUCUAGGACUCUAUAGGAGACUUACAUGCAUAUCAUUUUCAUAUCAUUGUUUGGAUCGUACAUAUUGGAUAGUGAUACUUUUUACUUAUAUAUGAUAUGCCUAUAUGUUUCAUGUCUUACAUUGUUUCUUAUUGCAAAUUAUCUCUAACAUGUCUUGAUUAUCUUUUUUUUAACUUCAUAAAUUUUGAUUGUUAACCCAUGAUUGGUUUGAGGGGAAGAUUCUUCUUCUCCUAGAUAACCAAGGUUUGUCAUCAUAAAAAAAUUGGAGAUUGUUAGCCCAAGGGUUCUCCUAAUCAUGUUUUGAUGAUAACAAACCAUGCUUAAGUUACUAAUUGGUUUGAAUUAUAAAGAAUUUCAAGUGUUAAUUUGAAAAUUCAUCAAAGAACCUAAUGGAUGCAAGAUCAAGAUUUUUGGAAGACCUUUAAUCAUAAGAAACAUAUGUAAGAUGAAUGCAUGGGUGCACUUAAGAUUUGCAUAUCAUUUCAUGCAUAUUUGGAAAACACGGUUUAUGCUUUAAAGUUACAUUUCCAUCAAAAUUUGAGAUCCAUCAAAUGAACCUUAGGAAAAAUGUUUUAAAAUUGGCAUAUAAUUUUACCUAAAGACCUUGCCUAAGUGUUAGAAGCAAAAGGACAAAAAAAAUAUAGGUUUUCUGGUCAAAAAUGGUGAACCAGUCAAGGCAUUGUCUAAAUCAGCUCAAUCGGCCAAGGUACCGGUCGAUCGGUUUCCCUUUCCCUGUCGAGAUCUAGUCAAGAGGUACAAAAAUCACAAUCUCUGUCUCUUUCUCUCUUUGUCUAUCUUCCAGUAGUCUUUCCUUCCCGGUCGAGGGAUUUGCCUUCCCGAUUGAGGUCCGAUUGAGAGUAAUAGUCACUUGCCAAAUAUUAAAUGCUCCAACAGUUAGUGAACUGGUCGACCCCCACCUUGCCCAGUUGAGGUUACUUUUUGGUUUUCUUGGCUCCCGAUGUUAGAAACCUAUAAAUAGAGAGUUCCACUUCAUUUAUGAGCAAGAGAACACUUGCAUUUAUUUGUUUACCUACUUGUUCUUGCCUUAAAAGCUCUCAUUUCUUUUCUUGGUGCAUUAAAUCUCCAUUUUGAUAUCCUUUAGUGCACCUUUGUGAUUCAUCUUAGCCUUGAGUUGUAUUUGAGCCCUUUUUUUAGCUAGGUUGAGAGUUUCAUACUUGUUAAUUGAGUGUUAAAGCCUUCAAGUGAGUUGAAACUUGUAGAGAUUAUGUGAGAGUCGAUUGGAGCCGAAAUCCAAGUGUAAAGGUGAUUAGAAGCUUGGUUGAAGCUUCAAGUUAGUGGAAUCCUCACUCAAUUAGGAGCUUGAGGAGAGUGGACGUAGCCAAGGAAGUGUCGAACCACUAUAAAAUUUGAGUUUGAUUUCUCUAACAUUGUCUCUUUAUAUUUGUUUAUCUUGUGCUUAAAUUUAUUGUGUUUAAAAAGAAUUUUUAAAUACCCAAUUCACCCCCCUCUUGGGUGUUUUUCUCUUUUAAAAUUAGCCUUUAUUUUCUCACAAACUAUUGUAGUAUAGUGGUUUUUAGGUGUCAUCCAUUAGGAUGAAUUGUUCUCGGUAAUUAAGGCGUGAAUGAGAGGAGAAUUAAUGAUUGUGAUUAAGUAAAAUUGAUUUGAAAAUUCAUGGUGAAAAAUCAAUUUAACAAUGGUUUCUAAUUGAGAAAAACAAUGAAAUGUGAAAUAAAAUAAAAUUAAUAGGAAAUGAAAUUCUCGAAGUUAGAAUUUUCUAAAAAACAAAUUCCAUGGUGAAUGGAUGUUGAGAUCUAAUUUUCAUCAAGUUAGAUUGAAAACCGAAAUUUUCAUAUAAACUGAUUUUUUAUUUAGUUUUAGGUCUAGAUUUAAUUUCCCUUAAAAUUAGGUUAUUUAAUCCAAGAAAUCAAUUCAAAUCAUAUAUUCAAUUCAUCUUAAAUUAUCUUCCAAUUAUUCACACAAUGCAACUAUUCAAUCUCAUCAAAUCUAGCUUUUAAGAAUUUAAUGAAUCUACCUAGUUUGCAUUGUAAUAGUCAUCCAUGACAAUUUGAAGAGAAAAAUAAUUCAAUUAAUCAAUCACUUGGAUCAAAUUACCUUUGCAAUUAAAGUUCAUUUCUCUAAUUCACCACAGAUUUUGUCUCUAGAUCCUCCUUUCUCAAAGAAAAAUGAGAUUUAGCCACACAUGAUUGGAGAUUUGGUCUCAUAAGGCAUGUUUAGCUAGUGAUAAAAUGAGAGAAAAUAAAGAAAAAUAGAGAAUUCGAUUAAGAAAGAAAAUCUAAAAAAUUCUACAAUUAGAAAUGUCCAAAAAGCUUUUUCAUGAGAAAAUCAAGUUUCUAUUUAUAGGCCAAGGUCAAGUGGACACUUGACAUCAUCUAAGAGGUCUUCCGGAAGCUUCUUCAUCAAGAAAUCUGGAGUUUAAUAAUAAAAUGGUCAUUUCACAAGAGCUCAAACAAUUUCGCAUGAUUAUGUGAAAUAAAAAAUGCAACAACAGCAAUUUACAUCUUCUUGGAGCAUUUCGCAUGACUGUGUGAAAUUUUCACAUGAUCAUGUGGAAUCGACUUGACAACUCUCAUUUAGCCUACAACAUAAUUCCACCUUUUGGUCCAUUUUUCAUAGUCAUGCGAAAUGGAAAUAUUUGAUUUUUAAGUUUUCUUUUGUCAUUUCUUUCAUUUCCUUCUCUUGAUUCCACUUCAACUACCUCCGAAUCCUGGUCCAAACCAAUUGCAUUACUUCUUUCAUUAUGCAUUUGGAUCAUCAUCAACAUUAUUUGUUCUCUUCAAUUUGAUUCAUCUCUUUUGUCACCAAUUUAUCAAAAUCAUACCUUGAAAUGACUCCAAAACUUCAUAAAACUUGUUAGUAACUCUUGCAAGGGCAACAACAUAUUAAUUAAGUGUUUUAGGCAUAGUUACUACUCAAAAGAUGCGAAACUCAUGAUAAUUAUUAUAUAAAAUAUGCUCUUUUUGAGUAGUAAUCAACUUUCUUGCAUAAGCAGACCUUUUAGGGUGGAGUACUAAAGACCAAUAUGCUUGUCCUUGUUGUAAUAAAGAAACUUGCUCUUAUUGAUUGCACCAUGGGAGAAAAUUUUGCUACAUGAGUUAUCAUCAAUUUCUUCCCACCAAUCAUAGAUUUAGACGUGACAAGAGGCCUCUUAAUGGCAAGGAGGAACUGACACUCACACUUAUACAAUUAUCGGGCAUUGAUGUGUUGCAACAAUUAGAAUAACUUACACCAAUUAUGUUGGGGAAGUCACAAAAGGCAAACAUGAAAACUAAAAGGAAAAAAGAAAAAUGUUACAUAUCACCACAACUGGAAAGAAAAAAGUAUUUACUUUCAUUUGCCAUAUUGGAAAGCACUUAUUUUACAUCAUAAUAAUUUAGACAUAAUGCAUAUUGAGAAAAAUGUGUGACAAUAUAAUUGAGACAUUGUUCAGUAUUGACGAAGAAACAAGGACAACCUAAAUAGUCAUCUCGAUUUACAAGCUCUAACUAUUAGAAAUGAGAUUCACCCAAUAGAAAGCAGGACCAAAUUUAUUUUGCUUGCAACAUGCUACUCACUCACCCCAAAUGAGAUUAAGGAAUUUUGCAAGUUUUUGAAAUCAAUAAAGGUCCCCAAUGGCUAUUCUUUCAAUAUCUCUCGUUAUGUGCAACUCAAUGAAAGGAAGAUAUAUGAGCUCAAAUUGUAUGAUUGUCAUGUCCUAAUGCAACAACUUCUCUCACUUGUAGUUCGUGGAGUUCUACAUAAGAAUGUUUGUGGAGUUAUCAUAGAAUUGCGUAAUUUUUUCAAGCAAUUGUGCUCAAAGGUGUUAGAAACAAAUCACUUACACCAACUUGAGAACAAUAUUAUUGUCAUACUAUGUAAAAUGGAGCAAAUAUUUCUUCCAUCAUUCUUUGAUAUUAUGGUGCAUUUACUUGUGCAUCUAGUAAGGCAAAGGUUGCAAGACUUGUGCAAUAUUGUUGGAUGUACCUAAUUGAACGAUAUUGUUAUAAUUUCAUAUGAAUCAUUUAAUUUUAUUUUAUAUUAUGUUCAGUUCAUUAACAUGUACAUUGGUCUACAUAUGGAUGAUGAUAGGUACCUAAGCACUUUAAAGUCAUAUGUGCGUAAUAGAACUUUUCUAGAAGGUUCUAUUGUAGAAAGGUACCUUGCAAAAGAAUGUACAACAUUUUAUUCUAGGUACUUGAAUGAUGUGGAAAUAAAGUAUAAUCACAAUGAUAGAAACUUUGUUGGUUUCAACACUAGAGGAGAUGAAAGGGGUUAUCUUUAAACAUAUUGGACAUGCAUUGGGAAAGCCCAUAUUUCAUUAACUUAGUUCAAAAGAGUGGUCACAAGCACAUUUAUAUGUGUUGACAAAUUGCGAAGAUGUCAUACCAUUCAUUGAGUAAAAAAUUUAUUUGAAUUUUAAUUAAAGCUCUAGUUUAUAUCCUUAAUCAAUGUUUUUUAAAUUCACAAGGAGCACAAGCAAACCAUCAAGGCUAGACCACAUAUACGUGUUUGAGACGUAGAUUUAAUUCAUAACAAGGAAUUUAUCAAGUGGUUUGAAAGACAUGUAAGUAUAUUCCUUAUUAUAAGGGAUUUAUUUCACAUUAUGUUUAUAUUGAAUCCAAACCUAUUAUUGAAUUGUAGGUUGAACAAUUACAUAAUGAAGGUCAUAUAUCUGAACACCUUCUCACAUUAUCAUGUGUUCCAAAUUCAUUAGUUACAUGCUUCAAAUGAUAUAUUGUCAAUGGAUUUAGAUCCCACAUUAAAGAACGUGAUAAAAAAGUUUUUAAAAAAAGACUCAGAAUAAUGGAAUUGUUGUAGUUGCAAAAACGUCAAGCUUUACAAGUGCAUGUGAUAUGAGUCCAAUUAUUAGUGAUGCUCUCUACUAUGGUGUUCUAACUAAAGUUGUUGAGUUACAUUAUCUUGGUGAAAAUAAGGUUGUUUUAUUCGAGUUUGAUUGGUGGGAUGUUACAAAUAUUGGAAAAUUGAUAAAAGAUGAUGAGUACAAUUACACAUUUGUUAACUUUGCAUGAAUUCUAACCACGAACGAACGAUUUGUACUUGCAUCUCCAGCAAAGUAAGUGUUCUAUGUGAAGAAUGCGAAUGAAUCAGAUUGGCAUACUAUCAUGGAGAUGCAACCUCAAGACCUCUAUAAGAUGAACGGGAUAGGAUCCAAUGGUGAUUUUGAACCAUUUCAACAAAGUGAACUACAUGAUCACUAAUAUAUCUCAGAUUUAGUUGAUGAAGAUAUAAUCAAGUGGAACAAAAGUGAUGUUUUAGGACUAAUCAUCCUAAAAAAUAUUGUAGUUUCUUAAAAAAAAAAUGAAAAUGAAGAAGAUAAUUGAACCUUUGUCAUACUUUAAAAAGCAACUAUGCAUUGUUCAUUUUGUAUGUUUUGGUUUUCUUCAUUUAAUUUCCUGAUUUUUGUGAUUCAAUGUCAUAUUAUUGAUCUUGAAAUAUUUUUCUAAUUUUUCAUUCUACGAUGGUUUCAACAAGGAUGACAUCAAGUCAAAAAAGGAAAUGUGGUCCCACACACAAUAUUGCAUUACAGGGAUUAAGGUCAGGGAAGAAGGUAAAAGUUGCAUUUAAUGAGUACAAUCAAUUGGUUAAACAGAAAAAUGGAAAACACUUAUCGAGCUACAUAGGGACACUUGUAUCUAACCAACACAAUGUACCUCUCCAAGCUAGUGAUUGGAAAAAUGUUCCAAAUGAUGCAAAAGAGAAAGUAUGGCCUUUGUUUUGGUAUGUUGUAUUUCUCACUAUAUGAUGUCAUUUCACUGUUAUUCUAUUUUGUGACUAACGUUUGAAUCAUAUGUAAGAAAAAUUUGAAGUAGAUAAAGACUGAAAAGAUUACAUGUUGGGUAUAGCCUCAAAUAAAUAUAGAAGCUAUAAAAAUAUGAUGAAUGCAAAAUACUAUGACCCUUGGCAUAAGGAUGCAUGAGGAGAGGUUAAUACAUAAAUCACCAUUUGUCUCUGAUGUUGAUUGGAAGUGGCUUGUCUCUGAUGCAUAAACCAAAUCCCCCACUGAAUGUUUGAUAUUUGAUAGCAGGAAAAACACACCCGCAGCUAUACACCUCCAUCAUUCAGAUAAUUAUAGUGGGGGAGAUGAUUCAUGGUUGCCCUUAUACCCUUUAUUUGCACCAUCUAUUGAGAUUCUUUAUCAUGGCCAGGUUUUACUGCAGCAAUAAGAUAUGGUGGCAACAAUUUUAUCUAUAGGUGCGGUUCCAGACCGCCUCCAUAGGUGCGGUUCCUGACUGCCUCCAUAGGUGCCUCUUCUUGUAAUGUUUGUUCUGGGAAUUACACUUGAAAGCCUUAUCGUGAUAAGGGAUUACAAACACUAGUUCAGAGGACAGCCAUGUUAAACUUCCACUAUGUUUGUGUCACAUUAUCAGCAGCCUAGUGUUUAUUGGUCAUGCUAUCUGCAACUAAUAUAACCCGGUGAACUUCAAUCUAAAUUCUGAAAGUACUCAUGUGACAGAUGGUGCCUUUCAGCAGAUAUCAUCAAUUUAAAAGUAGUGUGUGUGCCUAUAGGUGGGAAGGCCUUGGCAAAUGUUCAGUAUUCCGGUAAUUCAAGAAGGAUAUAUCUAAAAUAGAUUUUCUUCUUGCCCAUUUCAAUAGUUAAAAUUUGAGAAGAUUGUGUCCACAUCACACAAAUAUUAUUGGUCCUUCUGUUGCAAUUUACCUCUGAACAUGUCUUCCAAUUCCCACGGUCCUGUUACUCCAGGAAAACUAUUUCGGUCAUAUUGAAAAAAAAAAUAUUAAAGAAGGUACACAUGCUUUUAAGUGGACUGGGGCAUUCAUAUCAGGUGGUCUGUAUCCACAUAUGCCACUUCGUGAAAGGUGGAACAGCCUAAUCACUAGGCUAUUUAGUGUGGCCCAGCCACGUUAAUCAAGCACAAGUCUUCAUACUUAAAGUCAAAUGGUGUCUUUAGUCUCAUUACACAUCGCUAUUUGAAGAUUAACUCAUCACUAGUGUAAUGCGAUUAAGACAGUCCUAACUCAAUAUUUGUUCUAGUUUUGGAUGCAAAUGCUUGCUGGUUUCAUCAUUGGAUGGGAUAAAGGUGCAAUCAGGACUAUGAAUACGUGCAGUAAUACUUCAUUCUCUUUUUUCUCAAUGAGACUUCUUGGCACAAUUUUGCUGCUCAGCAACCUACCUUUCCAUGGAAAAUCAGUUGUGACUGAUAGUAAUGGAUAUAUUCUAGAAAGCUAAACAUAGAUAGCAUUCAAUAUUAUCGAUAUAACAUUAACAGCGUAUGUCUCAAUGCUCAUCAGCUACAAGCAAUGGACAAACACUUUGAGUAACUCACAGCAGUCAAAAUUCCUAAACAGGACAGACGUGACAGAUCUAUAUAUAGAACACUGCAUAUGAGUCACAGGAAAAGAUAAUACGGGUACAUAGAAGCUCUUAUUUUACAUAUUACUCAUACUGAUCAAAGUCGCUCAGUUGGGAUGGAUGGGAGAAGGAGGUUUGAGGGGUGGCUUGUGCGGGGAAGUUGGCAGCUUCUUUCCGGGAGCUGGUUGCUUCUUUGCUGGAGUUGAAGGAGGCUUAAUCUUCCGAGGUGGCUUGUAUGAGUCUUCAGCAUUCUCAGCAGGAGGGUGACCAGGGUUGUGACCAUAAUGUGGUGGCUUCUCUCCCUUAGGUGGUUUGCCAACUGGGGUUGGUGGCUUGUUUUCUGGGAGUGGCUUCUCUCCCUUGGGUGGUUUGCCAACUGGGGUUGGUGGCUUGUGUUCUGGGAGUGGCUUCUCCCCCUUGGGAGGUUUUUCGAAUGGGGUGGGUUUGUGUCCUGGUGGUGGCUUCUCUCCCUUGGGAGGUUUACCAAUUGGGGUCGGUGGCUUGUGUUCUGGGAGGGGCUUCUCUCCCUGGGGAGGUUUAGUGGGUGGCUUGUGUUCUGGAGGUGGCUUCUCCACCGGAGGCUUAUGCUCUGGUGGUGGCUUCUCGAAGGGGGGAUGCUCAGGGUAAUCACCAAGUGAGGGGGUGGUGAGAACCACCAUGCCAAGCAACAACACUAGCAAGUAUGUAGUAGACAUCUUUGGGUUUGGACUCAGACAGUGCAAAACUACGAGAAAUCGCUAGCCCUUUAUAGCGGCUCGGACCUAAUACUGACAUAAUAUAAAAUAAAUAUUAUAUUUUAUCAAGAGAGAACAGAGUGUAAUUUUAUCAUUAAUACCGAUCGAGGCCAAAGAAAGAAGACCCAUAAUCCAUUUCCCACAAGCAUACACAAUGCAGCUGUAAUUUUAUCAUUUACUUUUAUCCCUUGGACCACUGCAUUUUUGUUGAGAGACACAAUAACACAUUUUUAUCUGUCAUUCAACAUUUACAGUAAAGAGAGGGCACAAAACGCAAUUAGAUAAAUUAUGUUUUGCCUGCUAAAAAGAGGCAAAUAACUUUAUUUGCAACAUAAUUAUUUUGGUUUCUAGUGACCCCGGGGCCUUUCGGUUGGUUUGGGAUCGGAAAAUGAACAUCAUAGGGGGGGUUGUGCCCUUAUGGGCAUAUAUAUCUGAUAGCUUCAACUGGCCUUGUUCCUAGAAAGAAAUUGCCAAAGAUAUAAACUUAUUCCAGGCUGAAAGUAGAUGAGAGUCAUAAUGAACAUCAACCUUUGUUCAGUUUGAUUCAAUGCCCCCAUAGUGUUCAUUUCACAGAUCUGAAUGAUUAUAUCCGUUGAAUACAUAAAUUAAUGAAGACAAAUAUGAAACCCAAGAUACAUCUCUGCAUAACAACCCCAACCCUGGUUGCUAUGUUUCCCUUCUUCUAUUCACAUGAGGAUACUGGUUAUAAUUGUCAAACUUGCAACAAGCCCUUUGACACCUAACGUCAAUGGACGAAUUAAAAGUCUCCUUCAAACGUCUAUUUCACAGCAUGAAGCUUAUAAAGGAUGCUGACAACCUUCAGAGUUAGCGACAAAAGAUAAUUAUCAAGGAGAGAUAGUUCCAUGAGAAUUCCAAGGAGUCUGAAUCAAAGACAAAUUGCUCACUCAAGGGUUCUUAUUUUCUUUUAGGUACAAAUCUCUUGAGUGUUGUUAAAGAAACACGUCACUGUCAUUUUGAUUUGCAUUUAACAUUUCACUUUUGUUCUGGAAGGUUUGUUCCGGAAACAUAUCAAAUGAGCAUCAUUUUCUUCUUCGGUGACACAUGGUCGCGAGUACGUGGGUCCAUUUUCAUGCCACUUAGUUGAAAAGUUGGAAAGAAAAAACAUGCCAACAAGAAGAUAGUGAGAGAAGGGGCACUUCAAGCCUUUAACAUGAACAAACAGUAAAUAAAAGAUGUUUCUCCACUCAUAAAAGUGUGUUAGAUAGCAAUAUAACGAAUCACAUCCAAAAUCUUUACUAGGCUCAAACAUAAAGAAGACUCAUUUUUAAGAAAAGAUAAAAAUGGCAUUGUCUGAUAGUAUCCAAUACACGAGAUGGCACUUAAUUUGUACAAGAUCUGUCAAUGCUGACGCACAUUUUCUGAUUAAAAAAAAACUGAUCAGUCAAAAGCAAUGAAGAGAAGUGAUGACAAUGAAUGAUGCUUCCAAUAUUUUCACCCCUUAUAGUGUUCUUCAUGAUUCAGAUAUAUAAUUGGAAAUAGAACAACCCUAUGCCAUACAUUCGUCUAAGUAUGGUGUCUAAUUUUUUGUGUCAGCGGUUGCGAAUGGAGCGUGCAAAAGUCCAAAUUGGCGUCUCUCCAUUUCCACAUAGGAAGGUGACCUUUAUUGACAAAUACCCAAUAUUUGUAGACAUUCCUUAAAUAUCAUAACUUCUUGUUGAUUUGAAAAUCAUUUUUCAACUACCAUGUUUUAAUAAAUAUUUUUUAAAAUGUAUUUUUAUCAAAGUCCACCAUGAUGGAUAAUAUUCACCAUGCAAUAAUUAAUAAAGUACAAACUAAGCGAAAUGAAAAGCAUUUUCUUUGCUUUGAGUUGAUUUUGGUUGCAUUGAGUUGAUUUUGGUUUCAUGGUUUUUUCAACUCUUAUUUUGAUUGGAAGAUGUCAAGAAAAGAAAACAUAAAGAAAAAUUAAAAGGGAAAAAAGAAGAAAAAUAAAAAAAAAUAGAUUUAAAAGUUAAUAAAUUAUUUUUUAUAUUUAUUUUAAUUCAUUUCACUUAUUUUUCUUUUACUAUAUAAAAUUUAAAUAAUUUAAAUUUUAUAAUUAAUUUAAUUACAUUUCAUUUUCUUCUAUAUUUAAAUAUUGGAAAAAUAUUUUACUUAAUAUUUUUUUCUUUAAUUUCUUUGGCAUUUUGGGAACCAAACUUAGCCUUUAAAAUAAAAAACAAAAAAAAAAUGAAAAUAAGGAGGGAAAAGUGAGAAAAGAUAAAAACAAUAUGUAAAGGAUUUGAAAAGUAUUAGUUUGUAAUUACUAUUUGGAUUUCAAUAGUAUUUUAUUUGUCUUUCUAUAUUUCAUGUAAGAGAGAAUUUAAGAUAUUCCCCAAGGCAAAGCAUUAGUUACCUGCAAUCAGUGGUGAUAAGGCUCCAAGCCAAUUUUGGGCCCCAUAUCUUAAGACAGUACAAUUUCCAUUUCAACAUUUCUGAUUUCUCAGAUGUUUCACAUACCACAGAAGAACAUUGUUUGUGAAAAUAUGCAUUUAUGUUGGAUUUUGUAUGCUGUGGGGACUGGGGCAAGGAUCAUAUGGAAGAGUGGUUGACUUUUUCUGUACUUUAACGGUUGAAAUAGGAUAAGCACGGGCAUUUGUGAGGCUUAAUUGAUUUUGAAGCCUGAAAUUGCGUUUCUGUCAUUUUGUCAAAAAAAUGGCAGAUUCCAUACUCAUAUGUUUGGCCUGUGGCCAUGUACAGAUGCCAUUUAGUGACCAGUUUGUAACUGUCAAUCGUUGCGUUUUGACUCUGCCUCAACAACAUCUGCCAUUGACGGGUUUUCAUACUUGCAAAUCAAAUAGUCUUUCGUCCCAUCAGGAAUUUCGGUUUAAAUAUUAUUAAGCAUACGUUUGGCUGACAAUCAUUAUCCAGUUCAUGAUUUGGUUUCUUACCCUUAAUCAAUGGUUUCUAAGUGAAUAUAUGUAGAAGGAAAUCCGAAGUGUAGACAGUAGUAUCGAUAACUCUCAAUAUUCUCUAUAUAAUAGAAUAAACAGCGUCAUAGUGAUCGUCGCCUACAAGCAAGGUACAAAUACCAAAACGAGUGACUCACAUAGACAUCUCCCAACAAGAUGUAGUAGUGACUGACACAUGGACACAAUUAACUCGUAGAAAAGGAUAAGACCAUUGCACAGCAGCUCUUAUUUUACAUACUACUUAUGCUAACCAAAGUCAAUUAGUUGGGAUGGGUGGGAGAUGGAGGUUUGUGCGGUGGCUUGUGGGGCGGAGUUGAUGGCUUCUUUCCAGGAGCUUCUGGCUUUUUCAUCGGAGCUGAAGGAGGCUCAAUCUUAUGAGGCGGCUUGUAUGAGUCUUCUUUACUCUCGACAGGAGGGUGGCCAGGGUUGUGAUCAUAAUGUGGUGGCUUCUCUCCCUUAGGUGGCUUGCCAACUGGGGUUGGUGGCUUGUGUUCAGGAAGUGGUUUCUCUCCCAUGGGAGGUUUAGCAAUUGGGGUUGGUGGCUUGUGUUCUGGGAGUGGCUUCUCUCCCUUGGGAGGUUUAGUAGGUGACUUGUGUUCUGGAGGUGGCUUCUCCACCGGAGGCUUGUGCUCCGGUGGUGGCUUCUUGGUUGGAGGGGGCUUGGGGUAAUCAGCAAGAGAUGGGGUGGUGAGAACCACCAGUCCAAGGAACAACACUAGCAAGUAUGUGGGAGACAUUUUUGAGUUUGGGCUGAUCAGAUGAUGCAAAACUAAAGCAUUACGUGACCUUUUAUAGCAUGUAGCUCCCAAUACCCACUAAGUAUUGUGGGGUCCAUUUGUGCCCUACGGGGUUGAAAACUUAGACAAUUGGGCAAGGACCCACCUGACUAUGGAGGACUAGUGAGGUGUGAUCAUAGCUUUAGGAUUUUUCUUCCUCUGCAGCCGUCGUGCCGUUGGCAUGAUUUUCUUAAUCUUAAAUAAAGGCAUAGUUAUAGAGUUGUUUAAUCUCUAAAUGGGAUUUUAUAUAUAUCUUCAGAUAGCCAUUAAUAUAUUUGAUGAAGAAAGAAAGACAAGUGCAUACAACAUGUAUACGACUAGCUUUCAUGGAGUUCAUUUAUGAUCAGUUUUCCUGUACAUGUAAACCAGGAUCAUAUAUAUGUUUCUGUUCCACAACUAUUUUGGAAUCUUGUUUAUCAGUUUUUAUCAUUAUAAUGUCACAUAGGCUGCCAACUUGGGCGCUAAAAGAACCAGUUGGGCUAGUUCGUUUCAGAAUUUCAAUGUGGAUUCAGGAAUUGUUUUGUAAGAUAUGCGAAAUAGUAGAGGGAUGAAUAGUGUUUCAUUAAUAAAAGUGUCCUGUAAAUUAGAAGGUGUCAUAGAAACUAUAAUCAAUAAAUAACUUUUUUUCCCCACGGGUGGUGUUUCUUGUGGGGAUCAGUGACUGGUUUAGGUUCACCCAAAAUGAGUUCAGACUAAAAUUGGUUUGAGUCAAUGCCGUGUCUCUUUUUUCCAGAAAUCAACUAUUUUAUGCAUUGAAUAAAUCAUACAAAGAAAAUAUGAACGCCCGCAAAACCUAAACCCUGGUUGCUAACUUUCUAUGUUUCAGUUCUAUUCACGCAAGAAUAUUAGUUUAAGUUUGGGAAAAAUGGCAACUUACCUAGUGAUUACUUGGUUUUGGUUUGCGACUAUUUACGCAACCAACCAUGAGUUUGACUUUAACGUCAUGGGUUGAAGCCUCCUACAGGAAGGGAGAAAGCUCCACAGCUAGCUCCAAAAGAGAAUUAUCACAUUGAUAGCUCCAGAGAUUCCCAAGGGGACUGAAUCAAAGACAAGUUCCUCACUUUUUCUUCUUUUGAGGCCAAAUAUGAACCAAGGAUCACACAACCUCAUUCAACUUCAUAAGUUUGAUUUCAUGCAGUUGAACACUGGGUGAAGGCCAUGACAAGAAUUGAUUCAAAAAUUCUAUCACUCUUUUAAGUAAUGGAAGAUUAUUAUCUCUGAUUGGCAUCACAACAGCACAUGCUCCUAGAUCUUUCUAGACACUCCAUGCAAUGAAAGCACAAUGGAUCUUGUAACGAUAGAAACUAAGCCAUGCUACAGUACUAGAUGAUGAGGUAAAACUAGUAGACACGGGUGGCAGCCUAUAUGGGAGGGACACAAGUCUAAUUGAUUUGCAUUUCAGCAUUAUAGAUAGGUAUGUUUUGGAAGAUUUGUUCUGGAAAUACCGCACCAAGUAGGAUUCUUUUUCUCUUUAGUGGGUCCACUUGCAUGCCAAUUAACGAGUUGAAAAGUAUGAGCACCUACCUCGUGCUCGUGGAACCGAAGGUCAGUGAAGUGGGGCUCCUUUUGGCCUCGUGUAAACUUGAUUCAGAAGUGAAGUUAAUAGUCUUCCAUUCAGAUGGAUACAUGGGAAUUUUUCUCUUUUAUUUAUUUAUUUAUUUUUUUUUUGUGUGUGUAUGUCAAAGGAUAAUGAAUGAAGCGCGUUAGCUUGUUUUCUGACUGGAACCGCAGAUGUCCAAAUUGGAGUUCCUUCAUUUCUUACUUAGGAUUGUUACAUGUAUAAACAAGGUAUAAGAAAUAUGCCAACGUGUCUUGAGGAGUUAUUGAUUAGAAAUAACAAGUCACCCGACUGUAGAGUUCCAAGAUUUGAAUCUUCAGACCCUAUAGCAGCCUCUGGGGUACGUGGCAUCCUAUAGCAUAUUAAUGAAGGCUUUUUCGAUUUAGACUUCACAAUACCAAUUAAUAUGUAUGCACAAAAUGGAGAUGACCCCAAAAAAAACAGAAUCGCCAUAGUUUAUGAGGUUAAGGUGAUUCUCCACUUAAUAUCUACAUUAGCUAAUUAUGUAAAUCAAAUGAACUUCUAUUUUUCCUUUUUUUUUUUGGUUUAUGUCAAAUAGUAGCCCAUAAUUAACCCAACCAUUAGCCUGUUUGAAUUGAUUUCACAUGCACAAUGUUGUAGUAGUUCAUAUUUUGAAUUUUAUUUUUACAAAGGUAGUUAAGGAAAAUGAAGUAUAAUAAUUAUAAAAGCAGACUAUAUACACUACAAUAAUUGUUAGAAUGGUAUCUCAAAUUCUAAUUUAAAAUAUUAUUUUUUGUAAAAGAAAUAUUAUAUAGAAUAUUUCCUAAUUUUAUAAAUGAUUAUAAUUAGAUCUUUAUAAAAUAAGGAAAGUUGGUAAGAAUAUCUUUAUAAAUAUUUUAGGUCAUGAGAGAAAGAAAUGGGAUAAAAAUGUGAUGAAGAGGUGAAAUAAGAGAGUUGAUUAGGAUAUAGAUGUGAAGAAGAAAGGGAUUCAAUAUAUAUAUAUCUUUCAAUUACCACAUUAAAACCCUGUGAACCUUUUAUAUGGUUUACUUUAUUUUUAUAUUCCUCCUUUAAUAUAUUUACAUUAAUGCUUCCAUUGGCACAACAAUAACGAAUUACAAAUACAAGCAACAAGUCCCAUGUUUUAUUACCAAAAGCAGGUAAAAUCCACCUAAUAUAUUACAAUAUAUUCAUCCAAUAUUUUAGACCAAUUCUUCACCAUAAAUAUCAUAAUGUGGCUUUUGUUCUUUCUUAAAUUUAAAUUGAAUUGUCUUAUAUCAAUUUGUUUGUGAUUUUUUCAUUAACUUCACUUUCAUUUGGUUAUCUUUGGUUUUUGAAAAGUAUUAAGGAAUUAAUUAACAAAAUAAUGUUAAGAAAAAUAAUUUUCUCUCUUUUGAUUUUGAUUUUGUAGUAGAAAAAUAUAAUUAAAAUUAUUUAAAAAGUAUGUAAUUUUAAAUUAUUUAAUAUUUAGAUAAAAAAAAUAAGUCUAAUGAGUUUAAAAUAACAUAUAAAAAUAAUUUAUUUAUUUUAAAUUUAUUUUUUAUUUUCCAUUAUGUUCUCUUUCUCUUUUACUUUUUCAUAUUUUUUCUUACGAAGAAUCAAACACAACCUCAUAUUAUAUGUCAAGUGUUUGUCUAUAUUUGAGCAAUGUUAGAUACGGCCAUGGAUUCAUCAAACUAAACUGAUUUUAAUAGAUACUUCACAAAUUGAUUUAUACACUAAAUCAUUGGAUAGCAAUGAUGCAUUGGAAUUAAACGUAGGAUGAAGCUCGAAGAACACUGUUUGUGUAACAACAUAUUUAUGAAAUUAUGCAAAGGAUGAGCUUCGGGGUAGUAGUACAAGGUCAUUAAUGGAGAGCCGUGUUAAACCUUGAUUGUGAUUGGAUUCCGUUAUCAGCAACAGCAACCUUGUUUGUAACCUUGAAAGUCAUUCUGUCCACAUCGAAACUCCAAUUUGACGUUUGUAAUUACCAUUCCUGGAGUGUUCCUUGAUUGAAAUUUAAAUAAUAAUUGCGGCCCACAAGGAAUAUUUUCGAUUCUGUGGGAAUUUGACAAGGUUUGUUAGAGAAGACUGGUGACAUGUUGACUUCAAUGGUUCAAAUAGGAGACGUAUGUGGAUUUGGGGGGUUUAAUUGAAACUGAGUCCCUAUGGCUUUUUAAUAUUUGCAUUGAGCAGUCUCCAUGUGACUUCCUAAUUCCCACCAACCCUCCUGUCCAUGCUGUGAAACUAAAUUGUAAUUUAUCAGCCUUUGUCAAUGGUUUCUAAAUUAAAGAUAUAGACCAUGCAUGUACUUUAAUAAAAGCAAAUCUAAAGUGUAGAUAGCAGCAAUGGUGACACCCAAUAUUCUCCAUAAAAUAGAAUUAGAAUAAGCAGUGUUACAUUGUUCAUGAUCACCUACAAGCAUACAAGAACUUCCAUGAAUAACUCAUAGCAAUUGCCAACAGGGCGUCGUAGAGACUCAUACAUAGAACACUAUCCACCCAGAGGAAAGGACAAGACCAGUGCGCUGCAGCUCUUAUUUUUCACAUGUAUACCACCACUCGUAAUAACCAAAUUCACUCAGUUGGGAUAGGUGGGAGAUGGUGGUUUGUGGGGUGGCUUGUGGGGAGGAGUUGGAGGAGGCUUUAUUUUCUGAGGCGGCUUGUAUGAGUGUGCAGGAGGAUGCCCGGGAGUGUGACCAUAAUGUGGUGGCUUCUCUCCCGUAGGUGGUUUGCCAAAUGGGCUUGGUGGCUUCUCUCCCUUAGGAGGUUUACCAAUUGGGGUUGGUGGCUUGUGUUCUGGGAGUGGUUUCUCUCCCUUGGUAGGUUUGCCAAUUGGGGUUGGCGGCUUAUGUUCUGGGAGUGGCUUCUCUCCCUUGGGAGGUUUGCUAAUUGGGGUUGGCGGCUUAUGUUCUGGGGGCGGCUUCUCUCCCUUGGGAGGUUUGCCAAUUGGAGUUGGCGGCUUAUGUUCUGGGAGUGGCUUUUCUCCCUUGGGAGGCUUGCCAAUUGGGGUUGGCGGCUUAUGUUCUGGGGGUGGCUUCUCUCCUUUAGGAGGUUUGCCAAUUGGAGUCGGCGGCUUAUGUUCUGGAAGUGGCUUUUUUCCCUUGGGAGGUUUGCCAAUUGGGGUUGGCGGCUUAUGUUCUGGGGGUGGCUUCUCUCCCUUGGGAGGUUUGCCAAUUGGAGUCGGCGGCUUAUGUUCUGGGAGUGGCUUCUCUCCCUUGGGAGGUUUUGUUGGUGGCUUGUGUUCUGGAGAUGGCUUCUCCCCUGGAGGCUUGUGCUCCGGAGGUGGCUUCUGAAAUGGCGGGGGCUUGGGGUAAUGAGCAAGAGAUGGAGUACUGGUGAGAACCACCAUUCCAAGCAACAAUACUAGCAAGCAUGUGGGAGACAUCUUUGAGUAGUUGUAGCUAAGAUGGCGCAACACUGUAGGCAUUGGGUGGCCUUUUAUAAAGGGCUGGACCCAACAGCCAUAUGACACGUGUCAUGAUGACAAAUGAAGUUGAGGGGAUCCAGAUGGGUCCUACUGAGUCGAAAACUUGCACUAAUUGAUCUGGUGAGAUGACUAUUUCUGUCCUUUUGCCCUUCUCGGCCACCCUGUGCUGUUUUCCUUUUGCACGAUUUUCGUUGCCAAACAAGCAAAUAAUAUUUCGCCAAGAAAGAGGAGAGUGAAUGUGGAAUGCAUCAAGUCCCAUCAAGGAUGGCAGAGAAGAAAUAGAAGAUUGCCCAACUGUGAUAAACAUAGCAUACACGUAGCACCAGGAACUUCAUUUACUUCCAUCUAAUGGAACAUAACAAUCUUCUAAAGUUUUUGCAUGAUUUUGUUAUAUGUCUCUUAGCCUAAAGUUGGAAAUGCGCAACAAAUUUUGUCACUUCUCUAUUUCCCACUGAUGAUGUUAAUUAGCCUUCAUAGAUAUCAUCCUUUCUACAAAGUGCUUCAUUUGUGUGUUAUUGUAAAGUGUAAGAAAAGUAAUUGAACAUGUUCUUUUUCCUUUCAUAGAUGACUUUUGAUGUGCAUUUUAAAAGCAGCGCUGUGAGUCGGUGACCUUGAUUCACACGGAAACUAAGGCUCCUAUAGGACCCACUUUUAGCUGGUUAGGGGUGAAGAAAAUAUCAACUUUUCAGAGUGAUUUAAGUCAAGGCCAAGCCUCACUGUGUCAUUACUCGUGUGAAUUUUAUAUGCACAUACAUACAUAAAUAAAGUAUGAGACCCAAAUAACACCUUCCCUUUACAAACUUAACCCCAGCCGCUCUCUUUCAAUUCUUUUCACACAAGGGUAUUGACUCUAUAAAGGUCAAGAAAAUCAUAAUUUCCUAGGGUUUACAAGGUAAUUGGCUUAAUGCUAAUGUGAAAACAUAAAAGAUAAUAGUAUAUUGUAAGCUAACGAAUAUUCUAUAGUUAUAAUUAUUUGUGAUGUGCAUAAAUAAAUCUUCAUAUAUAUAAUGGAACAAUGAAUAAAGAACCAAUGAAAAAAUACUAUAUAUCAUUGCUUGGCAUUUAAACCGUAUAUGCUGCUCUUUCUAGCUACUCCAUCCACUGAAAGACAACAAGGUAAUCCAUGUUAUAAUGAUAGAAGAUACUGUCUCUAGGCUUUUUGUGAUGAAAAAUAUAAGAUAUGGGUAGGGUUGACCCUUGUAUGUUUGUCCUAUAAACACUUCAAAGUAACAUAUUUUUCUUCUUUAGCAACUCAUAAUGAUGGGGUUCAUUUGCAUGUCACUGAGUUGAAAAGUUGGACAAUUGCCCAUGUCGCCUUCCUCCUAGAUUCCGUAGUUCACGGGAAGGUAACUCAAGUUUGACAUAUUUUGAAUUCUUUUCACUCGGACGUCUUCAUAACCUGACAAAACAAAAAUGAAAAACAGAGGAUUGGUAUAUUAUUCAUGGUAAGCCUCAAAUUAUAGUAGUAUGAGAAAGGAGAAAAAGAUUUUGGGAACUCCAAUCUGGAUAAUUCUCGUUUCUUCUCUUGAAUAAAAAUUUCACUUACCUAACUUCGUUUGGAGAAAUGGCAUAUUUUAAUUUUGUACGUCAUUGCUAAUAAAUGGAGCAAUUUAGCAUGUUUUGUGACUGAAACUGCAAAUGUCCAAUUGGCAUUUCUUCAUUUCCCACUUAGGAUCUGAUCUUGUAGACCAUAUAACGAUAUGUAUCUGUGCAAGCAUUGAAAACUAAUGUGAACUAUGAGGAGUUACAAGCCACUGGACUGUAGAGCGAGUGCCAAGAUUUAAAUCUUCAGGCUCUAUCUGGGUAAGGGGAGGAUAGCGACCUAACCUUUUACCAAAGGCUUAGAAUUUAGACUUUUGGAAAAAAAUUUCUCAUGUUUUGGCUGGAUUUCUUGUGCUUGGCGCAAAAAGGAGAUGGCCUCAAGAAAUAGCAGACUCACUUUUGUUUUCAGCCCUUAAUAAUUCUCCACUGCUUUCCAUAACUACAUGGGUUAUACAUGCAGUCUGCUGCAAUAUUCCAGUUAUAUUUAUUAUUUCAAAGAGGGUGAAUGACUUCACAUGCAAUAUGUUGCAGUAACAACCCAAAUUUUGGCACACCAUCUUAAGAAUAGAAAAGUAUAAUAAAAGAAAUCAAUCAGAGAAUCACUUUGCAUGCAGUUCAUAGAGUUCGCCCAAAAUGGAGCCACAUGUACGGACAACCCCACAAUAGACAAUCUUCUCUAUACAGUAAUAAAAUACAGAAAUGGUUAAUGAAGCUCUGUAUUUCCUUAUCAUAUAUGACCGGUUGAAAACUCAGCAAGUCUUCCUCAAUCACAGACAGUUGGAGUUGCUUCAUCAAAAUCAUGCCUUCAUUACUGGCUUCAUUUUGGUUUCAAUGUCUGUUCUACCCUUAAAUUGGGUCUCUGCUUACUACCGGGAUAUCCUUUAGCGUCCUGCAAUUCUACUAGAUUAAAGAGAAUGACUUAAUUCUGCAUUCUGCCGUCCCUAGUCCAAGUGGUACUAGAAUUGAUGUUUCCUUUAGUGUCCUUUCUUCAUACUUUCAGGUUCUUCCCUUGUUUCAAUAAUGCUGUUUUCCUUCAUGUUUAACCUCUGUUGAACCACUUAAAACAACACAAUUUGCACACCAAUGUUUCUUUACAGAAAAGACUGUUUGCAAAAAUGCACAUGUUAUAAGGUUAAUGGAAGAAUUAAUUUGGGGAUAAGGGACUAGGAUUGGGCCAAUGAAGUUUGGUGUUAAAUUUUGAUUAUGAUUGCUUUUCAUUAUCAGGUACCUUAUAUUUGCUGAUGCUAUCUGGAACUAAAUUCAAAUCAGACAUUAUCCGAUUACUAACAGGACAUAUCAUGUCCCUCUGCAGAGUUUCUAAACUAACAUGUAUCGAAAUGUGGCCCCAAAAGGAAGGCUAGGAAGAUGGAGGAUUUUGUAGGAAUCGACCAGAAUCAGAUGGAAGAGAGAUAGUCCUGUUGACUUUAAUGGUUGUGAUAGGAACAUGCAUCAUUAUAUGAGAAGUUGCAUGAAUUUAUGUAUCCUGUUAUCGUUCCUUGACGAUUUCCCAAUGCAAUUUCACUGUCCACAAGACUAACCUCUCCAUGCAGUCAAAUGAAUUGUAAUUUCUCUAUUGGUACCAGUAGUACAUUUCAUACCAAACAUAUAGUAAAUAUAAAAUAUAAAUAGAUCAAGGAAAUCUGAAUUGUAGAUAGCACUGCAAGUAACACUCAAUAUUCUCUAUAUAUAAUAAAAUAAACAGUGUCACAAUACUCAUCACCCAGUGGCAAGGGAGAAAAACCUACAAUGAGUACUCAAAUCACCAUUCUCAAACAGAAACAUAGCAGUGACUGAUACAUAGAACCUAUAUGCUCACAGGGAAAGAAUAAGAUGACCAGUGCACAGCGGGCAGCAGCUCUUAUUUUACGUACAACUCAAAUCCCAAACUAACCAAAGUCGCUCAGUUGGGAUGGGUGGGAGAUGGUGGUUUGUGGGAUGGCUUCUGGGUAGGAGCUGGUGGCUUCUGUCCCUUUGGUGGUUUGCCUAAUGAGCUUGGUGGCUUGUGCUCCGGGAGUUGUUUCUCUCCCUCGAGUAGGUUUCGAGUCUUGUCAGAUGGCUUGUGUUCUGGUGGUGGCUUCUCUCCCUGGGGUGGUUUGCCGAAUGGGCUUGGUGGCUUGUGUUCGGGGAGUGGCUUCUCUCCCUGGAGAAGGUUACGAGUUUUGUCAUAUGGCUUUUGUUCUGGUGGUGGCUUCUCUCCCUGGGGUGGUUUGCCGAAUGGGCUUGGUGGCUUGUGUUCGGGGAGUGGCUUCUCUCCCUGGAGAAGGUUACGAGUUUUGUCAGAUGGCUUGUGUUCUGGUGGUGGCUUCUCUCCCUGGGGUGGUUUGCCGAAUGGGCUUGGUGGCUUGUGUUCGGGGAGUGGCUUCUCUCCCUGGAGAAGGUUACGAGUUUUGUCAGAUGGCUUUUGUUCUGGUGGCGGCUUCUCUCCCUGGGGUGGUUUGCCAAAUGGGCUUGGUGGCUUGUGUUCGGGAACUGGCUUCUCUCCCUUGGGAGGUUCAGUUGGUGGCUGCUGUUCCGUAGGUGGUUUCUUCACCGGCGGCUUGUGCUCCGGAAGCGGCUUCUCUACCUGGAGAAGCUUACGAGUUUUGUCCGAUGGCUUGUGUUGUGGUGGUGGCUUCUCUCCCUGGGGUGGUUUGCCAAAUGGAGUUGGUGGCUUGUGUUCGGGGAGUGGCUUCUCUCCAUUGGGAGGUUUAGUUGGUGAUUGGUGUUCCGUAGGUGGUUUCUGAAGUGGGGGAUGCUUGGGGUAGUCAGCAAGAGACGAGGUAGUGAGAACCACCAGUCCCAGCAGCAACACUAGCAAGCAUGUGGAAGACAUCUUUGAGUUCAGGCUGAGAUCUGUGCAAGGAUAACAGAAUUAGGUGGCCUUUUAUAGAGGCCUGGACCCAACACCCAUAUGACACGUGUCAUGCACUCAUGGUGACACAUAAUUCUAUGGGACCAUUUGGGUCCUACAGAAGUUGCAAAGUUGGACUACUGAGGUGUGAUCACAACUUUUGUCCUUAUUGCUUUCUCUGCGGCCAUUGCACGAUUUCCUUUAGCAUCAUUUUCUUGGCUAAAUAAGCGUAUUAUAUUUGUGGCAGACCGUCCACGUGUCAUAAACAGAUAUAUUAUAAUAAUGUAGUAUGCUUUUCUCCAAUGGAACAUGACACUCUUCUAAGUCUUGUUUUAAAUAUUGUGCAGGAUUACUUUAUACGUUGCAGUUCCAAGUCAAAAUUGGUGGGCAAACGUUGGCCUUUUUUCAUUUCACCUAAGAUUAAUGCUCACCUGGGAUAGGCACUACAUGACUUAUCUGCUCUUUUACUGUAAAGUUGCUUUGUGUAUGAGAUACACCUCCCCUGCACACCCUCAACAUUCGUUGCUCUGUUUUCCUUGUGUCCAGACGAGGAUAUUAAUUGGAGGCUGACAAAACGACUGCUAGCCCAGGAUUUACAAGGUCCUGGUUUGAGGCUUCGGUGAAAGUAUUUUUGAAAAGACACACAUAGAGAUAGUGCGUUUGGUGCAAUGCAGCACUGUGAGCCAUUCUGACGCGUUCUUAAUUUCAAAACUAAUGAAUGCUUCAAAAUUUUAAGAAGUGACAUUUCCAAAUAUUUGAGUUCGUUUAAUUGAACAUUGGAUAACUAGUGAUCAUAGAUUAUUAUCUGUGCUUGGCACUAUAAGAGGGUAUAUGCUUCUUUUUCUGGCCCCUCCUUCAAGGGAGGAGGGACAAUGUGAUCUGUAACGUUAGAAGCUAUUCCAUGUCAUCUUUGGGCUCAGUUCAAAACUAAAAGAUAAUGGGGGGGGGGGGGGGGGGCAUAUCAUUUUAUAUUUCUUCUAGAAGGUUUGUUCUGGAAAUAUUUCACAGGAGCAUAUCUUUUUCUUCUAUUACGUCAUCCGCAGCCUCCAAUAGGUCGGUUAACAAGCCACCGAGUUGAAAAGUUGGAAAAAUGGGAACACAGCCCGCCUCUUGUAUUCAGUAGUUAAAUAAAAGGUCACUAGAAGUGAGAUCCCUUUUGGCGUCUUGAUUUUCAAUCCAGCACCUCUGUGACCUGACAAACCAAAAAAACUAAAAAAUAAAAAACAGUACGUGGGUUGGUGUUAAGCAUCAAGACAUGUUAAUGAAAGAAGGUAGAGAAUAGGAUAUUGAAAUCCCAAUCCUGAUAACAUGAUUUUCUUUGCUAACAACCAUAUUAUAUUUUAUCAAGAAAGAGUAAUGCAUGUGGCGUCCAUCAAGACCCAUUAGAGUUCCGCUAAAGCUAUAGUUCUGUCAACGUUAUCAUUUACGUUUCCUCUAGAUAAUGGCAUUUUCCUCUAAAGCUCUUGCACCAUUAGGCUUCAAGUCAAAAUUUCACAUGUGAACUUUGGAAAUUUUCUCCAUUUGCCCCUAAGGAUACAGUUAGAAUUGACUUAAAAUCCUGAUUGAUAUGUACUAUUAACCAAAGAAUAUUGUAUAUAAUAAUUGAAAUAUUGUUGAUUCAUCGUGGAAAUACAUUUUGUAAGGAAAGUUGUUGAGAAUUUAGUAUGCUAUAUGGAGAAAAAAGUCAUGACUUAAGGUUGUGUAUGUAUAUUCUAUAUCAAAUAUUAGGUAGGAAUGUGGGAAAGAGCAGAGUGUAAUGAUAAGAAACAAAGAAAUAUAAGAUAUUCUUGAAAGUGGAAAAUAUAAAAUGGCUAACGAGUCAAAUUUAUGAUGCGUAAGGGGGAUCAUGUCACAUAAGAAAACCAUGGCAUACUAAAGACGUACGUGUGGUAUGGAGUAAUAAUUUUGUUAAAAUAAGUUUCUUGUUGGAGUACAUUAGGUGACUAUUCAUAACGUAUCAAAUUAAAGAGUCAAGUGCAUCAAUGAAGGCAUAUGUAGAAAAUUUGUUUGUGACAUGUACCAUAAAGAUAAGAUUGACUUGAUAGAAUUUAGUCUAAGUAGGAGUUGUUAAAGGUGUCUUAAAUUUCUAAUUGAUGUAUAUUUUUUUCUAAAAAAAUAUUAUAUAGAUAUUUUAAUAAAUGAUUAAUUCUUUGUAAAAAUACUUACAUAAUAAAAAACAUCAUUAAAAAUAUCUUUAUAAAUAUUUUAAGUUACAAGAAGGAAAAAAACCACUGUGAGAUAAUGAUGAACAUGCAACACUGUACCAAGUAAAUAAAAAUGUGAUAAAAAAAAAAGAGAAACACUCGAUAAAGGAAGGCUCGUAUAUAAAGAGUAAUAUUUUUAAUCAUAUGAUAGAAUGAUUUUCUCUCAUUCAUGAAUAUAGGCAAGAUUGGGGAACCAUUAUAAAAUUUUGUACACCUCGUGUAAAUUGAUGUUUGUCUUCAUAUUUUACACCAACAAAUGACAUUGAAGUUGUCAUUGAUAAAAGGGAAAAGGCAUGCCUCCACACCAUGUGCUUGAUUCGAAUGGUUCAAGUUUGAAGAAUUUUCUCCGGAAGAUCUAAAACAUUUUCGCCUUUAAAUUUCAUUUGAUUAUUAAUAUCCGAAAAAAUAGUUAAAUACUCUUUCUAUUUUUGAGUUGUUGAAUUUUUUGAAAGUUUUUAUAUUUGUUAUCAAGAAUUUCUAUUUUAUUAAGGGUGAAUAUUUAUAAAUAAGAUAUUAUAUAAUAUUUGGAUAAGAGAGAAUGGUGGAAUAUAAUAAAGUUUUAAUCCUUCCCAAUUUUGAACCUUUUUUUUUUUUUUUGAUAUAAUCGCCUUUCUCUUGCAAUCCUAUUAUCAGGUACCUUAUAUUUGCUGAUGCUAUCUGGAACUAAAUUCCAAUCAGGCAUUGUCCAAUUACUAAUAGGACAGAUCAUAUCUCUCUGUUUCUAAACUAACAUGUAUCGUAAUGUGACCUCAUAAGGAAGGCUAGGAAGAUGGAGGAUUUUGUGGGAAGCGACCAGAAUCAGAUGGAAGAGAGAUAGCCCUGUUGACCUAAUGGCUGUAAUAGGAGAAGCGUGUGGUUUUAUGGGACUUAACUGAUACUAAACCUGUAUGAUGCUUGGAGUGGUGUUUCUUUCAUUUUGUUAAGAAAAUAUGGCAGCAUACAUGCUUUCAACUGAGUGCAUCAGAGCAUCCAUAACAGAUGGUCUGCAACCCUAGGUGCAUGCCACUUUCUGACUGAUAAUGAAAUUGUCAGGUACCUGGCCUUGACUAAGCUCAACAGCAUCACAUAAAGAGAAGCUUUCAUACUUAGAUUACUGUUUAAAGUUUUUGCUUAUUUGAUUUCUUAAUGCCAUUAUGACAUUAUUGAUUCAAUUCUGCUUCCGAUUUUCGAAGUUCUGGGCAUCUACUGAUUGCAUCAUUAUAUGAGAAGUUGCAUGAGUUUAUGUAUCCUGUUAUUGUUCCUUUGCGAUUUCACUGCUCACGGGACUAACCUCUCCAUUCAGUCGAAAUGAAUUGUAAUUUCUUUACUGGUAGCAGUAGUACUUUUCAUAGCAAAGAUAAUAGAAAAUAUGAAAUAUAAAUAGAAGGAAAUCUGGAUUGUAGAUAGCACCAUAAGUAACACUCAAUAUUCACUACAUAAUAAAUAGACAGUGUUACAUAGGUAGAGAAACCUACAAUGAGUACUCAUCACCAUUCUCAAACAGAAACAUAGCAGCGACUUAUACAUAGAACCUAUAGGCUCGCAGGGAAAGAGUAACAUGAUAAGUUCACAGCGGGUAGCAGCUCUUAUUUUACGUAUUACUCAAAAUCUCAAACUAACCAAAGUCACUCAGUUGGGAUGGGUAGGAGAUGGUGGUUUGUGGGGUGGCUUCUGGGUAGGAGCUGGUGGCUUCUUUGUUGGAGUUGAAGGAGGCAUAUUCUUCUGAGGUGGCUUGUAUGACUCUUCGGCACUCUCUGCAGGAGGGUGCCCAGGGUUGUGACCAGAAGGAGGUGGCUUCUGUCCCUUUGGUGGUUUGCCUAAUGGGCUUGGUGGCUUGUGCUCCGGGAGUUGUUUCUCUCCCUCGAGUAGGUUUCGAGUUUUGUCAGAUGGCUUGUGUUCUGGUGGUGGCUUCUCUCCCUGGGGUGGUUUGCCGAAUGGGCUUGGUGGCUUGUGUUCGGGGAGUGGCUUCUCUCCCUGGAGAAGGUUACGAGUUUUGUCAGAUGGCUUUUGUUCUGGUGGCGGCUUCUCUCCCUGGGGUGGUUUGCCAAAUGGGCUUGGUGGCUUGUGUUCGGGAACUGGCUUCUCUCCCUUGGGAGGUUCAUUUGGUGGCUGGUGUUCCGUAGGUGGUUCCUUCACCGGCGGCUUGUGCUCCGGAAGCGGCUUCUCUACCUGGAGAAGCUUACGAGUUUUGUCAGAUGGCUUGUGUUGUGGUGGUGGCUUCUCUCCCGGGGGUGGUUUGCCAAAUGGACUUGGUGGCUUGUGUUCGGGGAGUGGCUUCUCUCCAUGGGGAGGUUUAGUUGGUGGUUGGUGUUGCGUAGGUGGUUUCUGAAGUGGGGGAUGCUUGGGGUAGUCAGCAAUAGACGAGGUAGUGAGAACCACCAGUCCCAACAGCAACACUAGCAAGGAUGUUGAAGACAUCUUUGAGUUCAGGCUGAGAUCU